ACCCAUAGUUGUGUAGCUGUACAGAGGGUGACUGACAGAGGACCAAAACGCUGGCAACUAAUGGACAUAUAGUAUAUUGUUUUGUUUUUUUACUCUGGAACCCUCUGCUACGGGAACAUAUUGAGGAUUAGCUUAGCAGCUGGUGAGAAUGUUCCAAACUAAGCACGGGAUGCUGCCAUAAAACUGGUCCGGAGACGUACUAUAUAUGGUUGUUUCCGUAUCCGAGGAGGGGACAACAAUCUGAUGUGCAGCGCUUCUGGUCACCAAGUUGUUUUCUGCCGGCAAUUAACGCACUCGAUUUGAUAUCAGGGGGACCGUCAUUGGAUUUGAAGGAAUAGGCUAACCGUCGUCGGCUGAUCAAGUGGAUUGUUUGUUGUUGGGGGUUUUUAUCACGGGGAGAGCGUUGUUCAUGUAUUGUGGAUUCCUACUUGUGGGGAGAUAUUGAGGGCUGAAGUGGCUUCGUUCAGGAGAGGCGAGGGAUCGAAGCUUCUAGCCCGGCUGAAGCACUCAGAACUGGGAUAGGCUACUGAGGAGUUCUCAUCCAUCCAAGACCGGUGCUGUGCCUGUCAAGUGGAGGGAUGGCGCUGAGGUGGGAUUCCACGCUGGUGUUGGCCGCCAUGCUUCUGGUUUGCUGUGGCGCCGAUCCCACUGACAUUCUCUACCGGAUGCUCGAGGAGCAGCCGCCCAACACGUUGAUCGGCAGCCUGGCAUCGGACGAGGGCCUGCCCGACUCAGGCCACCUGUACAAGCUGGAGGUGGGCGCCCCUUACCUGCGCGUGGAUGGCAAGACGGGAGACAUUUACACCACAGAGGUCCCCAUCGACCGUGAGACACUGCGGGACUGCCGCAACCUGCUCGAGGGCGACAAGUGCUUCCUGGAGUUCGAGGUGUCCAUCACGGACCUGAAGCAGGGCCAGGGACCGCGGCUGAUUGAGGGCCGCAUCGAGGUGCAGGACGUCAAUGACAACACACCCCAGUUCACCUCGCCCAUCCUCAUGCUGUCCAUCCCAGAGAACACACACAUCGGGGCACUCUUCUCCAUCCCCAUGGCCAGCGACAAGGACUCGGGCCACAACGGCGUAGCCGAGUACUCGCUUAGCGCCGGGCCUGACGCCGACCAGCUCUUCAACCUGCAGGUGGCCGAGGACACAGACGAGAAGCAGCCGCAGCUCAUCGUCAUGGGCAACCUGGACCGUGAGCAGAAAGACUCGUACGAUCUCAACAUCCGUGUGGUGGAUGGGGGCACACCGCCGCGAGCCAGCAGCGCCCUGCUGAGGGUGACCGUCACCGACCAGAACGACAACGCACCCAAGUUUGAGAGGAGCCACUAUGAGGCUGAGCUGGCUGAGAACAGCCCUGUGGGACACUCAGUCUUGCAGGUGAAAGCCAACGACGCUGACAUGGGUACCAACGGGGAGAUCGACUAUAGCCUGCACCAGGCCUCCGAUGCCGUCCAGAGGUUGCUACGCAUUGACCGCUCCACAGGGAUCAUCUACGUCAAGGGGCUGGUGGACCGCGAGGAGGAGAGCUUCCUCAAGUUCUUCGUGGUGGCCAAGGACCGCGGCCCCAACUCCAAGAACUCCAAAGUCCUGGUGACCAUCAACGUCAAGGACCAGAACGAUAAUGCACCCGCCAUCGAGAUCCGUGGCAUCGGCCUGGUCACCCACCACGACGGCGUGGCCAACAUCUCAGAGGACAUGCCCAUCGGCACGCCUGUGGCCCUGGUGCAGGUGUCGGAUCGUGAUGAAGGGGAAAAUGCUGUGGUCACCUGUGUGGUGGCCGGGGACGUCCCCUUCCAGCUGCGGCCCGCCAGCGAGUCAGCCAACGACCGCAAGAGGAAAUACUUCCUGCAGACCACGACCCUGCUAGACUACGAGCGCAUCAAGGACUACAGGAUUGAAAUAGUAGCGGUGGACUCCGGUAACCCUGCACUGUCCAGCACAAACUCCCUGAAGGUGCAAGUCACCGACAUGAAUGACAAUGCCCCUGUAUUCUCCCCCACCCUGUUUGAGGUGGACUUUGCAGAGGAGAAUCAGCCAGGUGAUAAGGUCCUGGAUGUGGUGGCCACGGACGCGGACAGUGGGUCCAACGCAGAGCUGACCUACAGCAUCAUCAUGGACUCGACCACUAAGGGGCUCUUUGAGAUCGACCCCAAAACGGGAGAGGUGCACGUGAGGAAUACGCUGGACCGUGAGCACAGAGAGCAGUACGAGUUCCACGUGGCAGCGGCCGAUAAGGGCUCGCCUAGCCUGAGGGGGACAGCCACGGUAGUGGUCAAGGUGCUGGACCGUAACGACAACGAACCCAAGUUCAUGUUGAGCGGCUACAGCUUCUCCGUUUUGGAGAACAUGCCUCCGCUCAGCCCUGUUGGCAUGGUGACGGUCAUCGAUGCAGAUAAGGGCGAGAACGCCAGGGUUCGGCUCUCGGUGGAGCCCGACAAUGGCAAGUUUGUCAUCCAGAAUGGCACAGGCACUAUCCUUUCCAGCAUCUCCUUUGACCGUGAGAAGGAGAGCACAUACACUUUCCGCCUCAAGGCUGUGGACGCCGGUGACCCUCCCAGGUCCUCCUACGUGGGUGUGACCAUCAACGUCUUGGACGAGAACGAUAACUCCCCCUACGUCACCAAGCCCUCUAACUCCUCCUACAAGUACCUCCCACCUCUCACGACCCCCGAGACACGCGUGGAAGUGGUGGAGGCUGAAGACAUCGACACAGGACCCAACGCCGAGCUGGUCUUCAGCAUUACCGGCGGGAACCCCUACGGACUGUUUCACAUCUCGCCCACCAAUGGGGAGAUAACCCUGGCCCAGGAGUUCACCCGCAAGCACAACGGGCUCCACCGUCUGGUGGUGAAGGUGAGCGACAAAGGCAAGCCACCACGCCACACCACCGCCCUGGUCCACAUCUUCGUCAACGAGACCAUGGGCAACAUCACCCUGAUUGAGUCUCUGGUGGGUCACAGCCUCUACACUCCUCUGGACAGAGACAUUGCCGGGGACCCCAACUACGCGCUGGCCCAGCGCAGCAAUAUCCUGUACGGCAGCCUAGCGGGCAUCGCCGGAGUCAUCCUGGUCAUCGUGGUGGUGGUGGUGAUCCGCCAUCGCAUGCAGAAGGACACCAAGAGCGGCUACCAGGCGGGCAAGAAGGAGAGUAAGGACCUGUACGCCCCCAAAGCAGGGCCCAAGAAUGGCAAGGGCAAAAAGAGCAAGAAGGGCAAGGUGCCCAAGCCCACCAAGCCACUGGAGGAGGAUGAAGAGGCCAGCCUCCAGAAGGGCCUCAACUUCAACCUCAUAAACGAUAGUGUCAAUGACAGUCCCCGGAUCCACCUGCCCCUCAACUACCCCCCGGGCAGCCCCGACCUGGGCAGACACUACCGCUCCAACUCCCCACUGCCCUCCAUCCAGCUGCAGCCCCAGUCCCCCUCUGCCUCCAAGAAGCACCAAGCCGUUCAGGACCUGCCUGCCACCAACACCUUUGUGGGCACAGGUGACAACAACUCUACAGGCUCCGAUCAAUAUUCGGAUUACAGCUACAAGGCAAACCCGCCGAAAUACAGCAACAAACAGAAUUGACAGAAGACCCCAUGGUGGUGUCCAUGUGCUGACUGACCAGCAGUGGUGGAAAUGUCGAGGGCCAGGAAUGACAUACGGCUGUCUGAAAUAAAGCAGGCCAUUGAGGAGAACGAUGACA
rnacentral:lncRNA from 1 species